rnacentral:rRNA from 1 species
AGUAUAAGCAAUUAUACGGCGAAACUGCGAAUGGCUCAUUAUAUCAGUUAUCGUUUACUUGAUAGACCCAUACUACUUGGAUAACCGUGGUAAUUCUAGAGCUAAUACAUGCGAAAAACCGCGACUUCGGAAGCGGUGUAUUUAUUAGAUUAAAGACCAAUGCCCUUCGGGGCUGACUGGCGAUUCAUGAUAACUUCACGAAUCGCACGGCCUUGCGCCGGCGAUGGCUCAUUCAAAUUUCUGCCCUAUCAACUUUCGACUUUAGUGUAGUGGACUAAAGUGGUUGCAACGGGUAACGGAGGGUUAGGGCUCGACCCCGGAGAAGGAGCCUGAGAGACGGCUACUACAUCCAAGGAAGGCAGCAGGCGCGCAAAUUACCCAAUCCCGACUCGGGGAGGAAGUGACAAUAAAUACUGAUACAGGGCUCUUUUGGGUCUUGUAAUUGGAAUGAGUACAAUUUAAAUCUCUUAACGAGGAACAAUUGGAGGGCAAGUCUGGUGCCAGCAGCCGCGGUAAUUCCAGCUCCAAUAGCGUAUAUUAAAGUUGUUGUGGUUAAAAAGCUCGUAGUUGAACCUGGGCCUCGCGCAGACCGGUCCGCCUCACCGCGUGCACUGGUCCUGCCGGGGCUUUCACUAGGGGAUUCGCAUGUCCUUCACUGGGCGUGUGCGGAACCUGGACUUUUACUGUGAAAACAUUAGAGUGUUCAAAGCAGGCCUAUGCUCGAAUACAUAUCAUGGAAUAAUAGAAUAGGACGUGUGGUUCUAUUUUGUUGGUUAUGGGACCGCCGUAAUGAUUAAUAGGGACAGUCGGGGGCAUCAGUAUUCAAUUGUCAGAGGUGAAAUUCUUGGAUUUAUUGAAGACUAACUACUGCGAAAGCAUUUGCCAAGGAUGUUUUCAUUAAUCAGGAACGAAAGUUAGGGGAUCGAAGACGAUCAGAUACCGUCGUAGUCUUAACCAUAAACUAUGCCGACUAGGGAUCGGGCGAUGUUACUUUUUGACUCGCUCGGCACCUUACGAGAAAUCAAAGUUUGUGGGUUCCUGGGGGAGUAUGGUGGCAACGCUGAAACUAAAGAAAUUGACGGAAGGGC